rnacentral:rRNA from 1 species
UACGGAGGGAGCUAGCGUUAUUCGGAAUUACUGGGCGUAAAGCGCACGUAGGCGGCUUUGUAAGUCAGAGGUGAAAGCCUGGAGCUCAACUCCAGAACUGCCUUUGAGACUGCAUCGCUUGAAUCCAGGAGAGGUGAGGUGGAAUUCCGAGUGUAGAGGUGAAAUUCGUAGAUAUUCGGAAGAACACCAGUGGCGAAGGCGGCUCACUGGACUGGUAUUGACGCUGAGGUGCGAAAGCGUGGGGAGCAAACAGG